CAGCCGCCGCGGUAAUACCGGCGGCCCGAGUGGCGGCCACUAUUAUUGGGCUUAAAGCGUCCGUAGCCGGGUUGGUUAGUCUCCCGGGAAAUCUGGCCGCUUAACGGUCAGAAUUCCGGGAGAUACUGCCAGCCUAGGGACCGGGAGAGGCCGAGGGUAUUCCCGGAGUAGGGGUGAAAUCCUAUAAUCCCGGGAGGACCACCUGUGGCGAAGGUGCUCGGCUGGAACGGGUCCGACGGUGAGGGACGAAGGCCAGGGGAGCAAACCGGAUUAGAUACCCGGGUAGUCCUGGCUGUAAACGAUGCGGACUUUGUGUCGGACAAGCUAUGAGCUUGUCCGGUGCCGGAGGGAAACCGUUAAGUCCGCCGCCUGGGGAGUACGGCCGCAAGGCUGAAACUUAAAGGAAUUGGCGGG
rnacentral:rRNA from 1 species